rnacentral:lncRNA from 1 species
AGCUUUCGCCGGCCGCGCGCACGGCGGUCGGUACCUGUUAAGGACGAGAUGCCUUCCGACCACCGGAUAACUCGGGACGGUCCCUGAUUUGCCUGCUCCCUGUCCAACAGCAUCUUCGGCUCACUCGGAAGUGAAAACAUGCAAUUUCAUGUUAUAACAUGCAAUUUCAUGUCAUAAAUUAUUCCCACUGACGCCUGAACAUUUUUCCUAAAAGGGAUCUGCAGUCACAAGGCGCCGCCUUCCGGAAUUUAGCAGUCAAAGCCAAAGAUGCGAAGUCACUCUUACCUCUGAUGAUAAUAAUGGUGAUAAUUUUCUUGGUGCUUCUGUUCUGGGAAAAUGAGGUGAAUGAUGAAGCAGUGAUGUCAACUUUAGAACACUUGCAUGUGGACUACCCUCAGAAUGACGUUCCCGUUCCUGCAAGAAGAGAUUACACUACAUCUGAGAUGGAGACCUUUCCUCUGCUGCUGCUCAGCCUGGGCCUGGUUCUUGCAGAAGCAUCAGAAAGCACAAUGAAGAUAAUUAAAGAAGAAUUUACAGACGAAGAGAUGCAAUAUGACAUGGCAAAAAGUGGCCAAGAA